GGUGGAGGAAGGGUGAUUCCCUGUGUGCUUUCAAAGGGGGGGUCGGGGGAGCAAAAAAAAGGUGACAUAGCUCACAGUGUCCUGUCACUGUCACAGAAGUGGAUGGUGUACCCAUCUAAAAAGAGUUUACCCAUCCUUUUAUGCUGCCAUAAAUAUUUAUUCACAUCAAACACAAUAUGAAACUGAGAAAAGCUGACCCAGGAGUUUAUAUAAACAAAUUAGUUCUCUUUUAGAACUUUUGUUCAUACUGUUGGUUAUAAUUUCUUGCUGACACUGGGUCAGUUUGCCCCCUUACUUUUGCCAUGUAACUAAAUGAGUGGCAUCACAUCAGCACUGCAUUAUUCCCCCCCCAUUUUUUUCCAAAACCAACACACAGCAGGGGCUUAAUUAGAAAUGUAGUGUAGCUGAACCACCAGCAAGCACACUGGUGCAGUCUAGUUUACAUCAGUACAGAGAAAACAGAAAAUAAUGUCCCCACAAACUCUCAGAGGCAGUUUAGUGACAAACAUAUUUAUUUAUUUACGUUUAGCAACCUUGAAAAUAUUUUGUGCCAUUAAAUGAAUGUAUAUGGGGACGUAAAGCUGCAAUCAAAGUUUAACUUUUAUUUCAACCCUCCUAAACAUUUGAAAUAUUAAUUAUAAUGCUUAAAAAUAGAAUAGAUUAGCAAACACAGCAAUAGUGUGAAAUAUAAUUUUAAUAUAUCAUACAUUUCUAAUUGAAAGCACUAUUAAAAUAAUAUUUAAACCAAAAGAUACCCCUCUCGCUGCCUCACCCACACACAUACACAUGGACAAAAACCCUCUUGAGACUUGUGUAUUUUCAUUUGAAAGGUGUGUGUCUGGUGUUUGCAUGUGUGGGCACAUGUGUGUAAAAAAGACAGUGAAGUGAAGGUGGCCUGUGUUUAGUGUCCAGACCUGGCAGAUUGUGACCUUAUCAAUGUGAAACUCUUAAGAUAAAUUAUUCAUAGCACCUGUUUGAUGUCUCCAGCCAAAGAAUGACAAAGGUGUAAGAUUUGAGAUGCAUCUUAAAGCCAUGAAUAUCAGUUAGUGUGCUACCUCUCUCUUUUUUGGAGCAGGAAAAAAAAGGGAUGGGCUGCAUUUUAAACAACAAAAAUGAACAAUUUGUUUUCUAACAGGGGCCGCAGAAGAAAGCGACCAGAGAACCACCGUAGAUUGCAGAGAGCGACAUGGCGGGCAGGCGUUCGGAAACACAGCAGGAAGCGUCAGUGUGGGGCAAGGAAUGACACUGGGAUGGGAUAUAAUUUAUGGCGAGUGCCGUUUGAUUAUAGGACAGUGACGGUGAUACCACUACUUAGUAUGAGUGUUGGGAUCACUUGACAUGACAGCCAUGCAGUAACAAGCUUAUUGUACUUAAUCAUACAUGUGGUAAAUAUAACAACAACGGUAAAUGAAUAGUCUCUCAGAAUAGAUUUUAAGAGGCUGCCCUCCUGGAAUUUUAUUGCUCAGUUCAAAUUUUGUUUUUUCAUUAAGCACAUUGUUGGAGUGUGUGUUUAACAAGUACUAUUCCAAGAUUGUCUGCUAAGCCAAGCAUCCUGGAACUCAAAUUCUUCCUCAAUGAUUUGUUUUGGAAAAAGACCAUAGUAUACUUUUUGGGAAACUGGCAGCUGUGCUUUUCAUAGCUACAGGUCAACAUAACACUCAGUAUUAAUAAAACAAAUAAGACUGGGAUGGAUAUUAAUGAUGAUAUAUACAGAUGUACUACACAUGGGCUUGAAUUAUGUGUGAGACACUCUCACAGACACUCUCACACAUGUUUGUGUGUUUACUUGUCUGUGUGUGUGUGUGUGUGUGUGUGUGUGUGUGUGUGUGUGUGAGUGAGUGCCUGUGAUAGCUGAGUCCAUUUCCCUCAGAUGCUACCUUUGACCCCACAGUCGGGGUCAAGCCCUGACAAAUGAGAUGGUCGAGUUCUGGCCAGAACUGCAAACAUUCCACAACAAUCUUCUGUCCUCCUCCCCUCUCUUCAUAUCCGUCAUUCCUCACCCCUUCCCUCCUCUCAGUGUGUCUCUUCCACGGCUUGGAGAAAGUCAGAGAAAGUUCUCAUUACAAACAAAAAUGCUUUAUUGUAUUUGCUGUGGGAAUCUUAAAGCACACACCCUUAAAAUUACAACAAGAAUUACAACGUCAGCGCUAAAUUGACCAUCUUUGACAUCUUCCUUGUUCACAGAAGGAAAGAAAACAAAAGAGGAUGAUCUUAGAGGAGAAGCUGUGUUAAAGAUUUGGAUAUUACAAACCUGCACUUUGAAAGCACACUGUGUGUUUGGAAAGCUUGUCAGUGAUGUCAAGGAUGAGAAAUGUUGCAGUGUGGCUUUUUACACACGCUGCUGGCUCUAGCAUUUCCGGCAACAUUUCUCACUCUGCCUCCCUCACACCAUCCGCUCUGCUGCAAUAUCCCCACAUUUUUCCAUCCUUUCACUUCUUCCCCUACCCUCCCUCCCUCCCUGUUCGCCUUCUCUCUGCUCUCUGACCACUCUUACCCUUCCUCUCUGCUGCACCACCCUGCCCAAUCUCAGCCUAUCCCUCCCUUCUCUCUCCUCACAGCACAUUCAGCCCACCCACCCCCCCUCCUCCACCCACUAUUUUCACAGAUUUUCAAACAUGCCGUUCCACAGAAUACUACCACCUGUGUCUUUAGGGAGAAAAGGGGGGGUUGUAUUGGUAUUCCUCUUCGGGAAGCUGGUUAAGGUAAGUGGCACCCUCUAUUACAAUGACACGGCAAAUAAUGGUUCUGCUUGUGUUUCUGUAUUACCUUUUUUUCAUGGAAUGACCCCGGCUUCCUAAGCAUCACCACCCUCCAUCAGAGCUCUAGCUACAAGUCACUGCUGUAAAAACACACAUAGUCACUAUUGAUGAACGUCAGCAGAGCAGCCACAGUGCCACAAAAGGAGCCUGGAGACCAACAAAGCUGGCUGAUACAGUAACACUGAGUGGAUCAUGCUCUUGAACUUGCUUUCAUAAUGAUGUAAUAUUACUAAAAGGCAAUGCAACACAGCAAAGACCUUAAUAAAAACACAUCAAUCUCGA